GUUUUGGUCGAUCUGAUGAUUUAGAAUUAAUCUUUUGGCAAUGGAAACAAGUUCAAACAAAAGUGUAACCGUCGGACUUGUAUAUAAUGUCAACUAAGCACACCCUCUCAUCCCUUUUCGAUAUCCAACACCCUCCCAUUCUGCCAUCGGCUUCCUGCACGCCCGCCCACCGGAACGACGCCGGAAUCCGCAGAGGCAUCCACCAUUCUUUCGAAGUCACCGAAAAAAAAGUGGAUCUGAUCGGCAUCGUCGCGACUCCGGCCAAACCCAACCAUUCCGAAUUUAAUAUAUAUAAAUACCGACACCCUCACCACUCUCGACACCCUCAUACACACUCGCAACACGUUUCGAUAACCUAACACCUCGCCGGAGACCGAGAAGACGACCGGAGAGAACCACGGCCUUGCAGGGGAUCGGAGACGAAUUCGUUGCCACGUCGACGUUCGUUUCAUCACGUAUUCGGAUAACCAUUAUGUUCGUUCUUUUGGAUUCUCCAAUCUUUACUCGUGCGUAUUUACAAGAAACGCAACGCAAUCAAGGCCAUUCAACCGUUGGAACUAGUUCAAAUCAAAAAAGUAUGAGAAGAAGAUAGUAGAGAUGAGAAAAUUCGGUAGAAUCAAGCUGCUAUGGUAUGAACUCCUCGUCCUGAGCUCUGAUACCACUUGUUGGACCGUGUGCGACCCUAAAUAGUCAGUAAAGGCAGUUCAUCUUUGAAUACAGAGGCGGAAUCAAAGUAAUCAAAGUCACAACAGCUUUAUCCUUUCAAUUCCUUUUCUAUUAACGCUUUCUGAGUAAAUUUUGACAGCAAUUCGACACCGAUAGUGUGACCAGAUUCCGCUCCAACGUUGCGAAUGAAAUCAUCACACACAUAUAUAUAGAUUGGCUGAUUCCGCUUGAAACUGUUCAAGCGGAACCCCAUGUGAUCACUUCGAGCGGAAUCACCAUGAAACACUUGGAGCGGAAUCACCAAUUGUCAUUUGGAGCGGAAUUACGACAUUAUCCUGAUUUCGCUUGAAAUGUCUUCUUGUCAUUUCGAGCGGAAUUACAAUCUAAAAUCCACAUUUCAAUUCCAAACUCCAAUCUAACCUAUCUAGAUCUAAGACUCGAUUAAGACGCAGUAAACAUACAUUGAGUGCACCAAUAGUACCACAUAGUUUAGUAGCUUAACGAUGGGAUAGCUCCCCAUGACAUGUUUUAUAAGCCGGUAAUUUAACAACUUAUGUUUUUGGGAUAAAACGUGUAAAACAUUUUAAAACCGUGAACUCGCUAACUUUAUAUUGAUAUACUACUGCAUGCUUUGCGGAUCGUUAGGUGCUGAGCUGGAAUUUGCAUGGAGGAGUGUAGUGGCUAUCUAGAACCAUUGUUGGGUUCUUACUUAAAUAAAUUGUUUUUAAACUAUUGUUGAGACCUUAGACCUUAUGCUUCCGCUAGCAACGUAAACUAUGUUUUAAACUUUGAAUAUUUUGUCACUAAUCAUAUUAGUGAUUAUUGAUUUACUUUGAUUAUCUU
rnacentral:lncRNA from 1 species